UUCGGGUUGUCAUGCCAAUGGCACUGCCCGGUAGCUAAAUGCGGAAGAGAUAAGUGCUGAAAGCAUCUAAGCACGAAACUUGCCCCGAGAUGAGUUCUCCCUGACCCUUUAAGGGUCCUGAAGGAACGUUGAAGACGACGACGUUGAUAGGCCGGGUGUGUAAGCGCAGCGAUGCGUUGAGCUAACCGGUACUAAUGAACCGUGAGGCUUAACCUUACAACGCCGAAGGUGUUU
rnacentral:rRNA from 1 species